UGGGGAAUUUUGGACAAUGGGGGCAACCCUGAUCCAGCCAUUCCGCGUGAGUGAAGAAGGCCUUCGGGUUGUAAAGCUCUUUCGGCAGGAACGAAACGGUGAGGGUUAAUACCUCUUAUCAAUGACGGUACCUGAAGAAGAAGCACCGGCUAACUACGUGCCAGCAGCCGCGGUAAUACGUAGGGUGCGAGCGUUAAUCGGAAUUACUGGGCGUAAAGCGUGCGCAGGCGGUUUCGUAAGACAGAUGUGAAAUCCCCGGGCUUAACCUGGGAACUGCGUUUGUGACUGCGAGACUCGAGUGUGGCAGAGGGGGGUGGAAUUCCACGUGUAGCAGUGAAAUGCGUAGAGAUGUGGAGGAACACCGAUGGCGAAGGCAGCCCCCUGGGUCAACACUGACGCUCAUGCACGAAAGCGUGGGGAGCAAACAGG
rnacentral:rRNA from 1 species